AAUUCUUCCUAAACCUAUCCAGCUUCCACCUGUCUCCUCGAGCGGCGCCAUGGCCCUCGCGUCCUCCUCUCCAUUCCCAGCGCCGCUCCGGCGCACCAUCUCCAUCCGGUCCUCCUCCUCCAUCCCAUCUCGCGGGUGGACACAGAUCGACGCUCACGACUGCCGCAUCGGCGAGCUCGCCGGUGGGAGACUGAUAGAGCAGCGUCGAUCCAACAUGACGCCAUGCGGUGGCCAUCGAUGAGCCACGGAGGGCUGCAGAUCGAUGCCGCCGUGGCUGCGGCUUCCCACCAAGCGAGCUGCGUCUCCACCCGGACUACGGGACGGCUUGCCCAUGGCUUCCUCGCAUGGCCCUGAGAGGCCUCGUCCUCUUGAUGGUUGCCACCGUCCGCAGGAUGCUACUGAUCUCCAUAUUAGUUGAAGCAGAGUUGCAACAGCUCUUCACAUUUGGUUGGUUGUAGGCAAGAUGCAGCGGAUGGAAGCGACACACGACGGCGAUGCAAAAGGCAUGGCGGUUCAGUCCCGGACGUUCACCGCUUGGCUCGGCUUCGACUAGUUGAUCUCCCUGGAGGAGAUUUUGGUGGUGUCCUUAGUUCCCGCAAAGUUCCUAUUGCCGGCUGCUGCGUCCUCCGUGAGGCCGCUUUGCUGCGGGACGGCACGACAUCUAGUCUCCAUCCUUGCGGUCUCCGCCAACAUCCGCGCCGGAAAUAAGGCCACGCCCGUCGAGGCCACGCAGCCGGUGAGACAUCUCAUCAUUCGUCUUCAGCGCUUGUUACAGGACGCUCCACAGGUGUAGAAAUUGUAGAAGAUGGUGUCGGUGUCCUUCACCACCGCCAAGUUCCUGGCGAUAGCAGCUGUGUCAUCCGCGAGCCCUAUCUGCCGCGCGCCGGCGCGCAACGUCUGGGCUCCCUAGCUCCUAGUGGUCACCGCCAGAAACAAGGUUGCGUCCUCUGAUGUGUGCAGCCUGUGAGACUUCUCAUCUCUUGUCUUCGGAGCAUGUUGCAGGACAGCUACACAGGUGUAAGAAAAAGAACUUUCAUGGCGUUGCUGUUUACUGCUCUCAAUUGGAUUCUGGGAUCUGUCAUUUGUAGAUCCAGGACUGCAUGACUUGGUUCAAAAUUUGUUUGAGUGGAGGCUUGCACCAACUUGUAUGCAAUGUUAGAUAGUAGUUUGGAUGUGAAUGCUUACCAUACGCUAGCUAGUAGCAUGUAGCUCCCUAACAUGCUUUCCUCUGCUAAUGAUCAUUCAUGUGAUAGUGUCUCUUGUUGUUGUUAAAUUAGAGAUCCAUUGUUGCAUUAUAUUAGAGGAGAUAGAAGUACUACACUACCGGUUAUGUAAAUAUAAUCAGGGUUAGCAUUUGGCAGUAAGGAUUGACAUAGUAAUAAGGCUAAGAAUAUUUUACAGAGAAGUUUUUCAAGUCAAUAAUACUGAUUAGUAAAUAUGGGCUGAAAACAGUGGUGGUUGUUCAAAGCGAGGUGUUAGUAGUUUAUCUAGUUGUAUUUUUCUGUUGUCUUGUCCUCUGUAGUUUAUUGUAGGUAUAGCUUGAUAUCCCGAGUGGAAUGAAUGAUAACUACACAUUGGUAUGAUUUUUUCAAAUAUAUCCCACUGUCCCAUUCUACCAUUGGUCAACUUUGUGACCACAAUUGCAAAACUGCUAUGAUGAAUCAUGAAAUCAACACCGCAUGUCAGACCUAGAUAUGCCACUGUAUUGAUGAGAAGAUAUUUCAUAUUCUGAGCUAAUUUUUUUGGUUUCAUUGCUCAGUUUCUACAUGCAUGUUUUUGUUCAUAAACAAAGAGUUAUGUUCCUUUGGUGCUAGUGGGAGAAUUGUGUAGGUGUUGUCUUAGUUUGUUCAAUUGGUAUCUACAUUUUUUAAUUAUUGUCUACAUGAUUAGUUUACUUUGAUGAAGAGUGGAGUUCCCCUUUUGUAAAAACUGUUUCUUUUUUAUUUAUCAGAAAAUGAGCUAAGGUUAUAAAUACACACAACUUUUUAAUCUUUUUAUGAGUUUCUAUGUUAUCUAGAUGGAAUACAUCUUUUGUUAUUCAGGCAUGAUUAAAUAUGUGAGGGUCAAAUGAUGAUGAAUAAACUGCACCAAUAUGAUGGAGCAAUGCUCCUGUGAUUCUUACUAUUUAAGUCCCUGAUAAUACCUCCACACAUUUUCUGGUUGUCCAUUUUAUUAAUUGAAAGUAACUCCACACAUUUUCUGGUUGUCCAUUUUAUUAAUUAAAAGUAACUCCACACAUUUUCUGGGUGCCCAUUUUAUGUUCAUGUAACUCCUACAUUGUUAGCAUUUAAGACACAUGUGGGCAGCGGCAGGUUUAGCACCAAUGACUUUCUCCACUUGGACGACACCGGGGACAAGAGCGGGCUAUGGCGACUAGUAGUAAGCAUUAGGCCCUGGAGCACCACCUCUGCCUGACCUGCUUGCGCCGGCAGCAACUCGUGGUGACACUGGCUGCCAUGACGGAAGCGGCAAGGCACCCAAGCAACCACAAUUGACGAGGCACUGGAGAUGGAUGAACUCCUCAAUGUGUUCAAUAUGCCUGUGUCGACCUCACACGUCAUGUGCCCUGGUUUGUGUGAGAUGGUGCCGCUGCUGGUGGAUGAGGUGCUGGAGAACGUUCAUCAUGACAUGUAUGCCUUCAGGGAUGAUCAGAUGUGAGCUAUGCACGCAUGCAUUUGAGGAAUGUCAACUGCCGUAGUAAGAAGUAAGUUCUCACAACAAUCAGGGUUUGGAGCAUGUAUGUAUACCGAAGGAAGUUGUGGUCCAGGGUUGCAACGCUGAGGCACCGUUUUGCAGUUCUUACCAAGAAUUAUGCAGGCAUGCAUUUGAGGAAUGUCAACUAGUGUAAUAAGAAGUGUGCCCACAACAAUCAGGAGAAGGAGGAUAACAAUGGCGUCAGUCAUGCACCAGCCGCUGCCGCGUUGUCCAUUGGGGCAUGCAACUAGCUCGCUGAUGCCUCUGGCGCGGGAAGAGAAUGUCGGGGAAGUUAAUUGCAGCUGCAAACCAUAGUGUGGUAGCAGCGAGAACCUUUGGUCUUGGCCUUGAGCUGUCCAGUCCAAUCCGUCGCUUGAGCUUGAUUCAUGGACUGAGCUUCUUCUUCGACCAACGGUAGCUGGAUGCAGAGCUGGAGCGUCUUCAAGGGCUUAUCUAACAGGUAUAGAAGAAAAUGCCAAGACGACCUGAAGCAACUAGUUUAUGUCCGUGUGAUUUUUCUGGUCGCUUUGGAGUCUGACCCUGCCUGGAAAGCUGGCUUGGCCUUGGCGGUGCCACUGCUGGUGAUGUGCUGCCCGUUGCAUGUGUGUGAUACUACUGUUUCGAUCCUUGUAGUGUCGUCUUUGUAAUGCUCCAGACCAGGGAGUUUUGUAAUGCUCCAGACCAGGGAGUUAUAGUUAUUGUGUAGCUAGAUGUAACCCGUGGUACGUUUGCAUUCUUUGCUACUUGACUAGUGUUUUUGUCUGGCCAGAAUGUGCAAAUCAUGUGGGUUAUUUGAAAAGAUAUGAUUUGUGUUGCGUACACAGUAAUGUUUGUUUCAUGUUGUGAAUGUUAAAAAAAGAGGAGAGGUUAUGCCAA